rnacentral:rRNA from 1 species
AUUGAACGCUGGCGGCAGGCCUAACACAUGCAAGUCGAACGAGUGGCGGACGGGUGGGUAAUGACUGGGCAACUUACUGAUGGAUGGGGAUAAGUACUGGAAACUGUAGCUUAUUACGCCUUGUAUAAGCUGGGCCCAUGUGGGAUGAGCUUGGUGGUGGGGUAACGGCUAACCAAGGCGACGAUCCCUAGCUGGUCUGAGAGGAUGACCAGCCACACUGGAACUGAGACACGGUCCAGACUCCUACGGGAGGCAGCAGUGGGGAAUAUUGGCCAAUGGGCGCAAGCCUGAUGCAGCCAUGCCGCGUGUAUGAAGAAGGCCUUCGGGUUGUAAAGUACUUUCAGCGGGGAGGCGUUACCCGCAGAAGAAGCACCGGCUAACUCCGUGCCAGCAGCCGCGGUAAUUC